rnacentral:rRNA from 1 species
ACGAACGCUGGCGGCGUGCUUAACACAUGCAAGUCGAACGGAAAGGCCCUGCUUUUGUGGGGUGCUCGAGUGGCGAACGGGUGAGUAACACGUGAGUAACCUGCCCUUGACUUUGGGAUAACUUCAGGAAACUGGGGCUAAUACCGGAUAGGAGCUCCUGCUGCAUGGUGGGGGUUGGAAAGUUUCGGCGGUUGGGGAUGGACUCGCGGCUUAUCAGCUUGUUGGUGGGGUAGUGGCUUACCAAGGCUUUGACGGGUAGCCGGCAUGAGAGGGUGGCCGGCCACAUUGGGACUGAGAGACGGCCCAGACUCCUACGGGAGGCAGCAGUGGGGAAUAUUGCACAAUGGGCGGAAGCCUGAUGCAGCAACGCCGCGUGCGGGAUGACGGCCUUCGGGUUGUAAACCGCUUUCGCCUGUGACGAAGCGUGAGUGACGGUAAUGGGUAAAGAAGCACCGGCUAACUACGUG